GCUGAUGUCAUACCGACUCAACACCCACGUGAAACCAUUAAUCUGGAUUGAAUCGGUAAUCGAACGUCAUGCUC